UACGGCUCCUAUUGAAGCCGUCGGUGCUCUCCCGUAGCUGUGAACGGUCGACAGGAAGCUGGGAGGAAAACGUUCACCGACGGCCGCUGUUCAGUGUGAAAACAACUGCUCCAGCAACAAUGAGGGGGAGGACAUUU